UACGGGGGGAGCAAGCGUUGUUCGGAUUUACUGGGCGUAAAGGGCGCGUAGGCGGCUUUUCAAGUGACGGGUGAAAUCCCUCGGCUUAACCGAGGAACUGCCUGUCAGACUGGAAGGCUUGAGACCGGGAGAGGUGAGUGGAAUUCCCAGUGUAGCGGUGAAAUGCGUAGAUAUCUGGAGGAACACCGGUGGCGAAGGCGGCAUCCUGGACCAAUACUGACGCUGAGGAGCGAAAGCCAGGGGAGCAAACGGG
rnacentral:rRNA from 1 species